GGCCAGGUAGCUCAGUGGAAGAGCACCUGGGAUUAUGCCAGGAGGCCUGGGUUCGAACCCCAGUCCGGCCA